rnacentral:rRNA from 1 species
UUGGAGAGUUGAUCCUGGCUCAGGRUGAACGCUGGCGGCGUGCCUAAUACAUGCAAGUCGAGCGAACAGACGAGGAGCUUGCUCCUCUGAUGUUAGCGGCGGACGGGUGAGUAACACGUGGAUAACCUACCUAUAAGACUGGGAUAACUUCGGGAAACCGGAGCUAAUACCGGAUAACAUGUUAGAACCGCAUGGUUCAACAGUGAAAGACGGUCUUGCUGUCACUUAUAGAUGGAUCCGCGCCGCAUUAGCUAGUUGGUAAGGUAACGGCUUACCAAGGCAACGAUGCGUAGCCGACCUGAGAGGGUGAUCGGCCACACUGGAACUGAGACACGGUCCAGACUCCUACGGGAGGCAGCAGUAGGGAAUCUUCCGCAAUGGGCGAAAGCCUGACGGAGCAACGCCGCGUGAGUGAAGAAGGUCUUCGGAUCGUAAAACUCUGUUAUUAGGGAAGAACAAAUGUGUAAGUAACUAUGCACGUCUUGACGGUACCUAAUCAGAAAGCCACGGCUAACUACGUGCCAGCAGCCGCG